GACGAACGCUGGCGGCGGGCUUAACACAUGCAAGUCGAACGGAAAGGCCCUGCUUUUGUGGGGUGCUCGAGUUGCGAACGGGUGAGUAACACGUUAGUAACCUGCCCUUGACUUUGGGAUAACGUCAGGAAACUGGGGCUAAUACCGGAUAGGAGCUCCUGCUGCAUGGUGGGGGUUGGAAAGUUUCGGCGGUUGGGGAUGGACUCGCGGCUUAUCAGAUUGUUGGUGGGGUAGUGGCUUACCAAGGCUUUGACGGGUAGCCGGCCUGAGAGGGUGACCGGCCACAUUGGGACUGAGAUACGGCCCAGACUCCUACGGGAGGCAGCAGUGGGGAAUAUUGCACAAUGGGCGGAAGCCUGAUGCAGCAACGCCGCGUGCGGGAUGACGGCCUUCGGGUUGUAAACCGCUUUCGCCUGUGACGAAGCGUGAGUGACGGUAAUGGGUAAAGAAGCACCGGCUAACUACGUG
rnacentral:rRNA from 1 species